rnacentral:sRNA from 1 species
GUCUAGCCCCGAUAGAACUGAAAAUCCUUUUGUCCCGUUGUUUGGGACAAAAGAUUGUAAGGGAUAGCGGGACUAAUG